rnacentral:rRNA from 1 species
UACGGGGGGGGCAAGCGUUGUUCGGAAUUACUGGGCGUAAAGGGCUCGUAGGUGGCCAACUAAGUCAUACGUGAAAUCCCUCGGCUUAACCGGGGAACUGCAUCUGAUACUGGAUGGCUUGAGUUCGGGAGAGGGAUGCGGAAUUCCAGGUGUAGCGGUGAAAUGCGUAGAUAUCUGGAGGAACACCGGUGGCGAAGGCGGCAUCCUGGACCGACACUGACGCUGAGGAGCGAAAGCCAGGGGGGCAAACGGG